GCCAGGUACGUUGACUCUAGAAUCCUAGUUAAUACGGAGGCUGAGUCUGGGGAUUGCUUAUGCUUGGGAGUUCUGAGCCUCAGUAGCACUAUGAAGACUGAGUGUCCCCACACUAAGUUUGGCAUCAGUAUGGUGAGCCCUUCGGAACAAGGGAGCCAAAAGGUUGCUGAAGGAGGGGUGAACUGGUGUAGGUCAGAAGUGGAGCAGGUCAAAGCUCCUGUCCCAAUAAGUAGUGAGACAGGACCAGUGUAUUUUAUGUAUAUAGCCCCUUCACUUUAUAGAUCAUAUUUU
rnacentral:SRP_RNA from 1 species